CAGUCGCCGCGGUAAUACGUAGGGUGCGAGCGUUAAUCGGAAUUACUGGGCGUAAAGCGUGCGCAGGCGGUUGUGUAAGACAGGUGUGAAAUCCCCGGGCUUAACCUGGGAACUGCGCUUGUGACUGCACAGCUAGAGUAUGGCAGAGGGGGGUGGAAUUCCACGUGUAGCAGUGAAAUGCGUAGAGAUGUGGAGGAACACCGAUGGCGAAGGCAGCCCCCUGGGCCAAUACUGACGCUCAUGCACGAAAGCGUGGGGAGCAAACAGGAUUAGAUACCCGUGUAGUCCCUGUCUCUUAUAA
rnacentral:rRNA from 1 species